CCUGUGAAUGAGGGUUUGAAUCCCAGCUAGGACUCAACGUAAAAAUAAGGUACAAGACUCUGUAUGUUACACAGAAAGUGUAAUCCCAUAUGUAACACAUGUUACAUGGAACAUGAUUGUGUUCCAUUGCUAACAUUGAAAUAUCCAAAUCAAGUAAAUGUGAAAAACACAAGGUUUUAGGAAGCUAGCAUCUGUUGGGCUCAAGAAUCCAUGCAAUCUUCAUUUCACUGGGCAGUCUUGUUCGCUGGUCUAUAGUGGCCCUACAGUGAGAUUUGGUCUUGGCGUUAAACAAGUGUUUAGAAUGGUUUUGCAGUUGUUAAUAGAAAACUGCCACAUUAUGCACAAACUUGUACAUAGGAAUUCUCUUUUAUGACAUUAUGGUCGAUCCUGUAGUACAUCCUGACAUUAAGGUUGAUUGUGGAAAGUCAGUGUUUAGUUUCUCCAUUUAUCAUAUAGUGUCUCUGAAAAACUUGUACAGAUUUUAUCAAUUGUAUGUAGCUAAGGUAUUUAUUGCAUUAGUUUCUGGUGCUUCAAAGAAUAGUCCAUUUUACAUCUGUUUUGGGCAUCUGUAGCUUACUACAACCUGUCUCCAUGACCAGCAUCUGUAUGAAUCGUGUAUAGACAUAAUGGAUGUAGUAAUUGUAAAUAUCAAACUGUUGCUGGGAAUUUUACUUGAUCACCUUCCCACUGAACAAGAGUUGGUUUGCUGACAAAGUUUAUAGAAAUAAGCAUGUUCGUCAUCUUAUCAUAAUUUUACGACUUACAAAUCGUUAUAUCUGUUGAUAAUUAUAAGUGAAUGAAGAAUCAUUAUGAAUUCAUUUUACAAUCAUUUUUAGUAUUUAGAUAUUUGUGGCCAUUGCUCACAUUCUUGACAGCAUUUUAAAUUGAAAGUUGGCAGUCUAUUUUAGUGGGCAUGGUGCCUUUAACAAGCUACUGCUACACAGUUAUUUUGUCUCCUGAUUGAUGGCAGCUACACUGUAAAACGCACAUAGCAGUGAAAUAGAUUCAUUAUUCUGACAGCUAUUGACAAGGUGCUAAUUUCAAUUCACAUAGACUCCACAACAUGACAUUGAUUGGCCAUUACUUGUGAACUACUAUAUUGUUCCAUGUAAAUUUCAACCCACUUUUAGGAUGUUCACUAAACAAAUACUUGAUUUUUAAAUUUGUUGAUUCAAUGGUCUGUAUUCUUAAGGGCCUUGUGUACUGUCAACACAAAUCUGCAGCUUCAUUAUACUUCCUUGUCAUAGUAAUAACGGUUCAAAAUUGUACAGGAGACUAAAUGGGCCCUUCUCAUACCUUCAUUUUAAAAGUUGUAGAUUAAGGGGUUCAUUCAAUUUCAAAAAAUUCAAAAAAUUAUUGAAGACUUCAACAACCCUGGGCUCCUUUGUUUAAAAACUGGUGUGUAUAGGUUGAGUACAACAAUUCUCCACAUGUUUUGUUUUCUAACUGUAUGUUCCCAAUAGUUCUCAAGAAGACAGGUUUCUGGAAUAACAGGGUCUGGACAGACAAGGUUACACUUUGUGACUCAGCUUUACAAUUAACAAUUGCUGAUAUGCAAAAUCAUAAUGUUUUUUUGUUUGUGGCAAAAUGGAGUCUAGAUUUUAAAUGGAAAUUAGUGCAACAUGUAUUUAACUGCUUGAUUAUGCUUUCUCUUUGUGACACUUCUAUUAAGAAUCUGACAAUUCACUUGGUUAUUCAGAUGAAUGAACCAGAUGAUGAAUGAGCACAGUUCAAAGUAGACCCCCAAGUCGUGCUACCGACGCUAACCUCAAAUAAUGAGUUGUCAUGUGAGGAAUACUGUGCCAUCUGCUAGAAUACAAGAUGGUACCUGGAACUAACAUUUCUUACCCAUGAAGGUCCAGGUUGGAAUUGGUCUCCCAGUAGUGCAGAUCAAUACCCUUGAAGUCAGUCACAAUUAUUUGCAGACUGCCGACCUGUAGCUGGAAUAUUGCUGAGUGAGGUGUUAAACAACAAACAAACUACUAACAUUUCACUGUUUACUACCAGCUGAUGGCAGUAAGAUGGAGGAGGGUUAAUGGCUUCAUAAACUUAACAGUGAAUCUCAUCGUAACAAAACAAUUGAUUUUAAUGUUUUACAGGUAAUUGUGAACAAGAAGUCAAUUUCUAGCCAAAUAUCUAAGUGGAUUAAUCAUUGGUUAAUCAAACAUGGAAGUAUGGUUGAAGAAACAUUUUUCAAAAUUUUCUUAUUCACAAGAUACUUUAUAUGUAUGUCAUCUUCUCAGAUCUCAUGGUCACUGAAUGGUGCUUGUAUUCUUUAAAGAAAUGGUUUGUAAGUUCAAGAUUCAUGAAAUGACUGUGGAUAUCUUUUAUGCUCACAAAUGUUAAAGUGAUAUAGUUCAUUAAUCUCUUUUAAUUGCUGCCAUUUUGAUUAACGUGUGUUUCUUGUACUUUUAUGUGCACAGUGAAUUAAGAAUGUUUUAGAACUAUUGGAUUGAUUUCCACAAAGGAUUUUUAUUUUGACUGUCCGUAAUAUCUCCGAUUGUAACUUGUUUUGUAUAUCAGAUGUAAUUUUAAAACAUACAAUUUGAAUGGUGGUAGUUUUAUUCCUUAGGGUUAUUCCAAAGUCCAAUACAAUUGACACACCUUGAUUGUUAACUUGUUGUACGUCAAGUACUUGUUGGUAACUGGCUGUCAAUCCAACUACCAGUCAUGAUGUAUGGCAGAAUGUAUAUACAGUUUUGACAAUAAUCUUUAUGAUGGUAUGAGGUUUAGGAAUUACAGAAUAGACUGUUGUUUUAAGAUUUUGAUGCACAAUAUUCUUAGUAAAAAGAAUUUGUUCAAAAACUAUGAAAAUAGAUUCCCAAUUACUGAUGAUUUGGAAAACAAGUGCAGUCUACAGAUAUGCAAAAAAGAUCUGAGAAAGUUUGUAUUUAAUUUUUAGCUGUUAUUAAAUACAGUUUAUUCAAAAAAAUUUUUUAUAGGUCUAUGGGUUUUUGUUCUACAGGGAUUACCGGGUAUGUGUAUUUUUUUGUGUGGUGGGUUGGUGGCCCGGUGGUAAAAGUGGACACUUGUCACACUGAGCAGUGAGUUCAUUCCCAACAUGGAUGGAAUGCGAGAAGUCCAGUCUUAAAUUCACACUGUGAUUAGUGCUAGAAGGAGCCGAACCACUGAUUUACUCUGUGAAGGUUGAUGAGCAGUGUGUGGAGUCUUGUCUGUAUAGACACUACUCCCCUGACAACUGAUGGAAUGUCUUUGGCUACUUGGUGCUCAGCCUUGUGUUGUCUGUAUGUUAUAUGGAUAUUUUCAACCCUGUAUUGGUCACAAGUGUUAGUUAUAAAUUUCCAUUUUAACAUUAGACCUUCAAAUCCAUGUCCACGGAAGUUAAGUUACUCUGUCAGCUGGCUGUCACUGUUUGCAUGUUAUCUAUGGCUGAUUCCUACUGAGCCAUGUAGACAAGUAGUUUAAAAGAUAAAUGACAGGAGCUGUUCGGGACCAUAAAUGAAAAUGAUACACAAACCAGCUAGAUUUCCCUGUUAUACAAUUUAUUUAGAAGAAUCUCUGAAGGAAUAGCUCAUUUGUCCACAAUGCUGGAAUUUGCCAUGCAGAGUUGCAUACCUUGGUUGUGCCAGAAUCCGACGACCAUGUUUUUCAAAUCCCUGAUUUUUCAUGAUCCGUAUUUGUUUCGUCUACCCCAUCCUGUAGUUAUCACACAGUUGGACCAUUAAAUAUGGACCAGAAUUUAAGCAUUUUACUAAAAUAACUCCACUCUCAUGUAUAUAUUUAUCGUACAUCGCAUGUUAUAGUAUUAGAGCCUAUAACUGCCCGAGCAUAUGUAAAUAAGCUGUAAUGCAUAUCAGUUGAUGAGUAUGGUGCUACAGUCAUGAUGCUCCCUUGUAUAUAAUUGUUGGCAGCUUUUGCUUCAUGUUGAUGCCAUGUGUGUUCCGGCUACGCAUUGUAGGUUAGAUUUACACUUUAAAUGACUGCAAUGGCUUCAAGGUUCCCUGAACCAGUUUGUUAUAUUAUCUACUUUUCUUAAAUGCCAACAUUCAGUCCCAAUAAACUGUAGCUUUUUAUUUGUCCUGUAAGUCAUGUUAAACUAUGAAGUGUUCAUGACUGACAUUACCAUGGUUGUAUAUUAGAGGAUAUCUAGCAUUUGCAAUGUCACCAGACAUGUAUAAACUGAAAAUUAUCCGUCAUAAACUUUUUGGUGUCAUAGCUGAGUUUCUAAAAACUGCAUUGACAAAUCCCAUGAUCCAUGGUCUUUAAGAAUUUGCCAAAGUCUGUCAAGUCCUCUGUACGAGAAAACAUAAGAGCAUAUCAAUGUCUGAUGUGCUAUUAAUGAAUUAGAAAAUUGUAACAAAAUCAAAGCCAGUAAUUAGGGAAGUUCCUAAUCAAGGCUAAACAGUUACCGAAUUUACCAUAUUAAUCAUCCUUCUCCAGUAAGCACCCUUGACCAAGUUCUAGACAAGUCUGUAAGGAAACCUUAUUAGCACCGUCUACUAAGACCAACAAUGUGUCAUGAUGGUGCAUGUUAAGUUGUGUAUCUUAUGGAUUUUUUCACAGGAAAUAGUACCACAGUAACUUCUUUGAGUGGCAUUGUUUAGAAGUUGGAGAGUAACAUACAAACAAAAUUUAUGGAUAAACAACUUCUUUAUUCAUACUUGCUUCAUAACGAUACAACAAUCCGUAUCGAAACAUCACAUCUACCGAAUAAAGAAGUUGUUUAUCCAUAAAGUUUGUCUGUAUAGUACCACAGUAGGGGUGUAAUUGCUUCAAAACUCGAAAGAGUUGACGAAACUUGGCCCAUUCAUUAUUAUAUUUGAUGCAGUUUAAACUUUGGCCAAGAACAUUCACUCACUGUUGAGAUCAUUAUUAAUUCAUCUGAGCGUGCUCUUUAGGGAAGGAGUAUGCUACAGAAGACUGUUCAAGAUCUGUUCAAUGAGGUUUACUCGCCAGAUCAUUGGACAUAAGGAAUGUAGAGUUUGUACUUACAAAGCCAUAAUUCAGACUAUACUAAGCAAAAAGUUCAAAGUUACAUUCAUUUUGUUGUGAGAAACAAAUUAUGAGGUCAAAUCUACCUUCUGGAGUCAGACCUCUAAAUUCCAAUGUGCAGAAACCAUCUUGGGAGAUUCCAAUACUCAAAAACUGAUGUCCAUCCUUCUGCACUUGUUUCCCAGGGUUCAUUACAGGAAUCACUUCCUGAUAUCGACUAAGAAGCCUUCCAUGACUGAUCUGUAAUGCAAACUUGUCCUUCCACAAAUACACAGGUAGUUGUUUGUUAUUUAUAAGUCCUGUCUAAUUUAUUGUCACUCCAUACCAUCCUUGUAUUGCCUUUCUGUUGUAAAUAAAAUGGAUGUCAGAAAAAUUCA